GAGAAAGUUGAAGCGAUGGAGGAAGUAGAGGGUUUGCUGAAAGGUUUGAAGCUGUCGGCGACGGAGAGGAAGUGGAUCAGAGAGGUGGGGAAGGAGAGGGUGGUUGGCUGGGCACGGGAGGAUCCACAGGCGAUGGGGAAAUUGUUCUCAGAACGGCCGGCAAUUGCAGGAGUGAUUGGGCAGACAUUAGGGAGGAUUUGGUGUCCGAUAAAAGGCUUGGGCUGCAAGGACCUGGGCGAAAAUAGAUUUCUGUUCACCUUCCGGCAACCAUCGAGAUGGAGGAGGGUAAUUGAGGAGGGCCCAUGGUGGUUCGAUAAGGAGCUGUUGGUCCUGGAAGAAUUUGACCCAGACAAGACGACUGAUGAGUACGAAUUCAAGUUUAUUCCCAUGUAGAUCCGUGUGUUCGGCCUGCCCCUAGGGUUCAUGAAUAGGGCCACAGGAGAGCUUAUCGGGGAAGAUUUUCACGAACUACUUGAUGUCGAUGUGGGACAUGACGGAAAAGCUAUGGGGAAAUUUCUCCGGGUAAAGGUGAAGCUUGAUAUCACAGAACCUUUGAUGAGGGGCUUUGUGCUGGAUAGGAAGAAGGAGAGGAAUGCCAAGGAGAGUGAAGGGGACAUCGGAAAGGGGAAGGAAAAAAGAAGAGCCUGCUGUGGUGUAGGUUCGAGUAUGAGUACAUGCCCGACUUUUAUUAUACCUGUGGUGUCAUUGGACAUGGUGAAAAAGAAUGCAGCAGGAGGCCAGCAAAGGGGAAGGCACCACAGUACGGACCUUGGAUGA
rnacentral:rRNA from 1 species